rnacentral:rRNA from 1 species
UGGGGAAUCUUCCGCAAUGGACGAAAGUCUGACGGAGCAACGCCGCGUGUAUGAUGAAGGUCUUCGGAUUGUAAAGUACUGUCAUUGGGGAAGAACGGUUUUCUUGAAAAGAUUGAGAAGACAUGACGGUACCCAAGGAGGAAGCCCCGGCUAACUACGUGCCAGCAGCCGCGGUAAUACGUAGGGGGCAAGCGUUGUCCGGAAUUAUUGGGCGUAAAGGGCGCGUAGGCGGGCCUUUAAGUCCGGUGUGAAAGAUCAGGGCUCAACCCUGAGAGUGCAUCGGAAACUGGAGGCCUUGAGGACAGGAGAGGAAAGUGGAAUUCCACGUGUAGCGGUGAAAUGCGUAGAUAUGUGGAGGAACACCAGUGGCGAAGGCGACUUUCUGGACUGUAACUGACGCUGAGGCGCGAAAGCGUGGGGAGCAAACAGGAUUAGAUACCCUGGUAGUCCACGCCGUAAACGAUGAGUACUAGGUGUAGGAGGUAUCGACCCCCUUCUGUGCCGCAGUUAACACAAUAAGUACUCCCGCCUGGGAAGUACGAUCGCAAGAUUAAAAACUCAAAGGAAUUGACGGGGGUCAUAGCUGUUUUCCU